rnacentral:tRNA from 1 species
UAUAUUUUAGUAUUAGAGGUACAUAGAUUUUUGAAGUCUAAAGAAAAAGUUUAAAUCUUUUAAAUAUAA